UCACAUUUAAAUUAGGGUUAAUGACACAAAGUGAUAAAUGUGAAAACACUUGAGUGUUUUAGAUAUUUUAGAGUUGUCUAAGCUCUUCCAACCUCCCCAAAUCCGACCCCCUCUCUCUCAAAAUCACUCUCAUCUUAUUUGAAAACUCUCUCUCAAGUUUUCUCUCCAUCUUCAACCUCAAGAACACUAAGAAGGCUUGGAAGCUAAGCCUUGGUCUAGAAAGGGUUUAUCUAAGGGAUUUUGAAAGGUUUUGAAGGAGCCAAAGCUAAUAGGAAGAUUCAAAACUUAAGCAAGAACAACAAGAGGUAAGAGCAAGGGCAAGGAAGAGCAGUGAGCGCUGGAGUCUACCUUGCAAAUGUACAUGUGGACCGACCUUUUGGGAAGCCAUUUUAUUUUUGGAAAUGUUGUGUAAUUUUCCUAAACUAGGCUCACUCUACUCGUUAUAAAAUAUGUUUGUAAAUAAAUGUUAAGUAUGACCAUACGAUUUUUUUAAAAGUUUUUUUAUACGGGUUUUUGAGACAUUUUGUUAAAUGAAAACAUUUAUAUUUCCACA